AGCCAAAGCUUUAUGUGCUGAAAGAUGGCCUCGCGUCUGAUUAGCUAGUUGGCGGGGUAACGGCCCACCAAGGCGGCGAUCAGUAGCCGGUCUGAGAGGAUGAACGGCCACAUUGGGACUGAGAUACGGCCCAGACUCCUACGGGAGGCAGCAGUGGGGAAUAUUGGGCAAUGGGGGAAACCCUGACCCAGCAACGCCGCGUGAAGGAAGAAGGCCUUCGGGUUGUAAACUUCUUUUAGCAGGGACGAAGGACGUGACGGUACCUGCAGAAAAAGCAACGGCUAACUACGUGCCAGCAGCCGCGGUAAUACGUAGGUUGCAAGCGUUGUCCGGAUUUACUGGGUGUAAAGGGCGUGUAGGCGGAGAUGCAAGUUGGGAGUGAAAUCCCGGGGCUCAACCCCGGAACUGCUUUCAAAACUGUAUCCCUUGAGUAUCGGAGAGGCAAGCGGAAUUCCUAGUGUAGCGGUGAAAUGCGUAGAUAUUAGGAGGAACACCAGUGGCGAAGGCGGCUUGCUGGACGACAACUGACGCUGAGGCGCGAAAGCGUGGGGAGCAAACAGGAUUAGAUACCCUGGUAGUCCACGCUGUAAACGAUGAAUACUAGGUGUGGGAGGACUGACCCCUUCCGUGCCGCAGUUAACACAAUAAGUAUUCCACCUGGGGAGUACGACCGCAAGGUUGAAACUCAAAGGAAUUGACGGGGGCCCGCACAAGCAGUGGAUUAUGUGGUUUAAUUCGACGCAACGCGAAGAACCUUACCAGGACUUGACAUCCAACUAACGAAGUAGAGAUACAUUAGGUGCCCUUCGGGGAAAGUUGAGACAGGUGGUGCAUGGUUGUCGUCAGCUCGUGUCGUGAGAUGUUGGGUUAAGUCCCGCAACGAGCGCAACCCCUAUUGUUAGUUGCUACGCAAGAGCACUCUAGCGAGACUGCCGUUGACAAAACGGAGGAAGGCGGGGACGACGUCAAAUCAUCAUGCCCCUUAUGCUCUGGGCUACACACGUAAUACAAUGGCCGUCAACAGAGGGAAGCAAAGCCGCGAGGCGGAGCAAAUCCCUAAAAACGGUCUCAGUUCGGAUUGCAGGCUGCUAUAGGCUAACA
rnacentral:rRNA from 1 species